CGGUCUGCUACCUCUUACCCAUGUCUUUUGAGUACCUUCGUUUCCUCGGCGGGUCCGCCCGCCGAUUGGACAACAUUCAAACCCUUUGCAGUUGCAAUCAGCGUCUGAAAAAACAUAAUAGUUACAACUUUCAACAACGGAUCUCUUGGUUCUGGCAUCGAUGAAGAACGCAGCGAAAUGCGAUAAGUAGUGUGAAUUGCAGAAUUCAGUGAAUCAUCGAAUCUUUGAACGCACAUUGCGCCCCUUGGUAUUCCAUGGGGCAUGCCUGUUCGAGCGUCAUUUGUACCUUCAAGCUCUGCUUGGUGUUGGGUGUUUGUCUCGCCUCUGCGUGUAGACUCGCCUUAAAACAAUUGGCAGCCGGCGUAUUGAUUUCGGAGCGCAGUACAUCUCGCGCUUUGCACUCAUAACGACGACGUCCAAAAGUACAUUUUUACACUCUUGACCUCGGAUCAGGUAGGGAUACCCGCUGAACUUAAGCAUAUCAAA
rnacentral:rRNA from 1 species